CCCGUCCGCACAAACACGACACCGACGCCAUCCACAAAGCUAACCACAUCAACAAAGGCCGAGAGGGCACCGACAGGGAGCAGCGUGUCAAGCUCGAUGGCUCUGGUCUGUACCCAACUCCCAUCUCCUCGAGGCGGCGCCUCCCUCGCCCACAGGUAGAUCGUGGACUUGCCUGCCGUGGCGAGUCCCAGACGACCAUCGUCCCUGGUGGCGAGCACAGCGCGCUGCCAGUCCAAGCGUGGCGGCGGCGGCAGGCGCACCACCGCCAUCUCCCGCGUGCCCAAAUCGUACUCCAGGGCCGCCGCGCCCGUCUGGAACGCGAAGUAGAGCGCGUUCCCGGCGAGCGCGCUGGGCGCGAAGUCGACGUUGUCGUCUGGGUGCCGAGCGGACGCGGGCGCGUUCCACGCGCCCGCCUCCGACGAGUAGACAUGGGCGAACAUCUCCGCGUGGUUGGUGCCCACCACGACGACGAGGAAGUGGCCGCCGCCGCAGCAGUCGAGGUGGUCACAGGCGGAGGCGGUGAUUGUGGCGGCGCAGAGCACGGCGGCGUUCCAGCUGUAGGGGUAGGGCGACCAGGGGAGGCGGGGCAGGUCCGUACGGCGGCCUGUGGCGGGGUCCCAGACGGCGAGCUCGCAGUCGACGGGCGCGUCGCGGCCGGUGUCCCGGCGCAGGAGGGCGCGGCCGUGGCGGGCGUCGAGCGCGCGCCAGCCGCCGAGAAGGAGGAGGCCAUCCGCGGCCGCGCGCGCGCGCGCGGAUGCGGGGCGGAAGGUGGAGGUAGGCACGAAGCGGGUCCCCGUGCCGGCGUUGGCGAGGAAGCCCAGCAUCGGGGGAUGCGAACCCCCGCGCCCGCGGUGGAGGUGGAGGUCGCGGUAGCGGCGGCGGAACCGCGGGCCCGUGACGAUGCGGCGCCAGCGUCUGCAGACGAGCGCGGCCCGGACGAGGCUUGCCGGGUCCGCAGGUGGGAAGCGCAGCAGGACCUCCUCCACGAGCUCCACCAUCAGUGCGCUCGCUGGCGGCAACGGCGGAUCAGCUUCCAUGGUUGGUCAGGUGGGUCCCGACUCCCGAGCAGCGAAGGCGGGCGACGGAGCAGGAGAAGAGAAGGGAGUGGGAGAAUCUGCUUGUCUGCUUCGUGCUGUUGCCGUUGACGCUGAGGCUCCUGGUGGGGCCAUAUGAGCAGAGAAAGAGACUUGGUCGUCAAACCCUGGCCGCCCAAACAGGAUCCAACGGUCCACAUGACCUCCAGCCCGGACAGACGAAAUGGAAGUGGAACGCUCCCUGCCUGAUUCAGCUAGUUUUCCCAACAACCGGGCAUGCUGAAUAUUCUGCUAAUAAUUGGUGUGAGUCUUUUAUAUAGACCACUAAAAAUAAGAAAAACAGUCAUAGAUGUUAUUGGCUUUCAUACACCAACCAGUUCAGCUCAAAAGUAUUCUAAAAUAGUAAAAUGUACCAGUUCAGCUCAAAAGAAAGUGAACAAUUCACUUGUAUUCUAAAAUAGAAUACAUAAGCACUUGUAUUUCACAUAUGAAAAUGUAGCAGUGCAGUUUAAUGAUGCUGUAACUGUAACCUGUGAC
rnacentral:misc_RNA from 1 species